UGUCUAUAAAUCUUCUUCCACCAUGUGGCUGCACUGGAGUCUCUGUGAAUCUGCUGUGAUUCUGGGGGCUGCCCAAUUCACAAAUCAUUCAUUGCUCAGUUAAACUCCUUUAAAUUUAAUUUGGCUGAAGUUUUUCUUUUAUCAGGUUGUGUCAGAAGUGGGAUUCGAGGUAGAGCCUCUAGCAACCCCCAGGAGUGCUGAGUGAAUAUGCAUGGUACCUGCAGGACCCACUUGUGUCCACUGAUCUCUUGGAGCAGCUGAGGAUUGUGGGACUAUGGUGCAGCCAGCUGGGUCAUUAGGGCCACUCAGGGAAAGAGAACCCAGAAGCCUGGUAUGCCGGCAAAAGGUUGCCAGGGAUGGCAGAGCUGAGGCUGCUUUCCUGGACACUGAGCAGAAUCCUGUGGCUCUCGGGCCUCUUUGAGUGGGGAGCUGCCCGGCAGCCCCGGAUCAUGGAAGAGAAAGUGCUAGAGGUUUAUGAUUUGAUUCGAACUAUCUGGGACCCAGAAAAGCCCAAUACUUUAGAAGAACUGGAAUUGGUAACGGAAAGUUAUAUGGAAGUUCAGGAGAUAAAUGAAGAAGACUAUCUGGUUAUUAUCAAGUUUACACCAAGAGUACCUCAUUGAUAUUUGGCGAUUCUUAUGGGGCUGUGCUUAAGAAUAAAACUUCAGCAGUGUUUACCAUUUAAACAUAAGUUGGAAAUCUACAUUUCUGAAGGAACCCACUCAACAGAAGAUAUAAGUAUGCAGAUAAACAACAAAGAGCAAGUGGAGGCUGCAAUGGAAAACCCCAGCUUAUGGGAAAUUGCGGAACAGUGUGUCCUUGAACCUGACUGGUAGCUAUUUUAAGAGCCACUGACCUGUAAUUUAUAUAUUUGUUUAAACUCUUUGUAUAAUGUCAAAGACUCACGUUUAAUACAUAGAUGAUUUGUACCUCAGAUCAUUUUUAAAGGAUUAUUUCCAAGCAAGAUUUAAUUUUAAGGUAGUACCUAAUUUGUUCAGUGUAUAACAUUCUCAGGAUUUGUAACACUUAAAUGAUCAGACAGAAUAAUAUUUUCUAGUUAUUAUGUGUAAGAUGAGUUGCUAUUUUUCUGAUGCCCAUUCUGAUACAAAUACUUUUCAUGUCCAAUAUCUACUGUGCCCAAAUGUACUCAAUUUAAAUAAUUACUUUGUAAAAUAAAUAAGCAGAUGAUUCUUGUAAAAAAAAAACACAGCUGGGCAUGGUGGCUCAUGCCUGUAAUCCCAUCACUUUGGGAGGCUGAGGUGGGUGGAUCACAAAGUCAGGAGUUCAAGACCAGCCUGGCCAAUAUGGUGAAACCCUGUCUCUACUAAAAAUGUAAAAAUUAGCUGGGCGUGGUGGCGGGUGCCUACAGUCC
rnacentral:lncRNA from 1 species